CUCAGUUCUUUUAUUUAUUGCGUGGCGCGAAAUCCAUCAUUGGCUAAACAAUCAUUUGGUUAUGCCAUUUUGGGUUUUGCUCCCACCGAAGCUAUUGCAUUGUUUGCCCCAAUGAUGGCCUUUUUGAUCUCAUCCGUUUUCCGAUCGCAUACAAAGUCAUAUAAGAUAAAAAAAGAAAUAAUCUUUCUCCUUCUUCCCUCCUUAUAG
rnacentral:rRNA from 1 species